rnacentral:rRNA from 1 species
GACGAACGCUGGCGGCGUGCUUAACACAUGCAAGUCGAACGGAAAGGCCCUGCUUGCAGGGUCCUCGAGUGGCGAACGGGUGAGUAACACGUGGGUGAUCUGCCCUGCACUUCGGGAUAAGCCUGGGAAACUGGGUCUAAUCCCGGAUAGAAGUCAUAUUUAGGGUGAAGGUUGGAUAGUUUUUUCGGUGUAGGAUGAGCUCGCGGCCUAUCAGCUUGUUGGUGGGGUAAUGGCCUACCAAGGCGGCGACGGGUAGCCGGCCUGAGGGGGUGGACGGCCACAAUGGGACUGCGAUACGGACCAGACUCCAACGGGAGGCAGCGGUGGAGAGUAUUACGCAGUGGGCGCAAGCCUGAUGCGGCGACGCCGCGUGGGGGAUAACGGCCUUCUAGUUGUAAACGACUUUCGCUGGAGACGAAGAUUUUUGUAAGGGUACCUAGAAAAGAAGCACGGGCAAACUACGU